GCAAUGCACCUGUUAAGACCUGGUAGAGUGGAAACCGAAUGUAGGCUGAACAUGAAAUAACUUAUUGCAUAUUUCUUGUUACAACAAAAUGGCACUUUCAAAGAAGGAAUGUAGACUUCACUUCUUCCUGUUGACUGCUGACUGUUGUGGCAUAGUAAGAUACUCCAAAUUUAAGCAAUGGUCACACCCAGUGAUGCUGAGGGUUUACUCAAGAAUUACUGCACUCAAGAAUUACGGCACUCAAGAAUUACUGCACUCAAGAAUUACUCCUGGCGGUGCUUGAGGGACCAUAUGGGAU